rnacentral:lncRNA from 1 species
AGACAGAUUAAAAAAACACAGAACAAAAACAUACCCCCAGUUUCUGAAUUCUUCAAGAGACGGCAGUGUUAUUUCUAUAUCUCUCCUGUGUGAAUUAAAGCCAUCAUUACAUUAUCUUGUUGAGUUGAGUUGAAGUCCUCAAUUUUUGUGCCCCAGACUAAAGCUAUGACCAACAUAUCGUUUUCAUAUGGAUGUUUUCAAGAGAAGAUAUUUUUUUCAAGAGGUAUCUGGUAUUUCUCAACUGACUUGAAAAGACAUCUUAACCUGCAAGCAGAAAAGGGAGGAUGGAAUAAAAUUAUGACUUCAAGAAGGGCAGAGUCUGGGUACUGGAUUCUUGCAAUGCUACUGGGAAACCAUUUGCAGGCAACCUAGAAGGAGACAGCUCUGAUGCAUCCUGUCCAUUUUCGAGCCCCGAGGGAAGGAGCCUUCUGGCCCAAAGACAGUAGUCCGCUCUUCUAAAAAGUAAAGAGCUCUCUGCCAUGGAGGAGACACACAGGAAGACUUCCCAGAUGCCACACCCACCCAACUGAGAAGGAGUUUCUAAGGUGAGAAUGUUCAGCUUAAUUCUCCCUUUCGCAAGUGACAUAAUAUGUGCAUGUUUGAGGUGAGAGGAGAAAAACAACCAACUGCCUUCCAGUACUGCCUUCCAUUUUUCAAAAAUGGAAUUGGUGGCCUCUAUGGGGACUACAAACAAUUUUUGUUUUCAGCUAAAAUUCCCACUUACCCAGGCAAUUAGGGAGUCCUACUUGUAAUAUUUUCUCUCCCAAGCAUUGGUUAGACACUGGUCAAAAACUGCUGAAAUGUCUGUUUCAAUCUUCUCUAGUAGUUUGGCUAAAAGGCUUGGUAGAAGAGAAAGUUAGAAAAAAAAAUUUCUUUCCUCUAUGAGUUGUUUUGUCCUUGACUUCACGUGGCAAAGAUAAUCCAUAAAGUCUUUGAGAGGACAGUGUAUUUUCAAAACAGUCCUUGGAACAAAAACAACGUGUGAGCAUAUGCAAGAAAAGAAAGCAGAUUUCCUCUGGUUUUGGUUUGGUGUCCUAUGAACACUAGAGAUUGUCAUGUGAAACACUGCAGGGUGAUCUAGAAAUAACUUGAAACCAUUAAACUGGAUGCAUUGGAAUUACCUGGGUUCCUUGUCCGUUUCACUGCAUUGGUCCAGUGGAAGCAGAUGAAUAAGUUUUGUCUUUGUUUUUGUCAGAUAAAUAGCCAUUAUAGGGGUCUUGUGUUUGAGUUUUUAUGGUACAAAUCCAAAUGUUUUAUAGCAAGUAUGUUUUUCUCAAGAACAAUAUCUGUUUAGUUUGAAGAAGACUCUGGUAAAUUAAUUUAAUUUUAGCAGCUGUGAUUACAGCUUCGUAAAACCAAGCCCUUGUCCUCAUACUUCAUCUUCUUGUGGACUUUUGACAUCUUAACUUUUAAAAGUAUUUCUACCCCCAAAACUAAAAAAAAAAUUUUAGUCUAUAUGUUAGAUAACACCUAAAUGUAUGUAAGGUACUCCUUACUGAAAAAGUAGCAGUUGUACUCAAUAAGGACAAAUAAUAAGCUUAGCCUCAUGGACAGUAAAUAUUUAAACUUUUAGUAGAUCUUAAAUGUUCUUACCACAAGAAAAGAGAAAAAAAUAAAAUGGUAACCAUGUAAGGUGAGGUGUUAACU